rnacentral:rRNA from 1 species
AGCGAACGCUGGCGGCAGGCUUAACACAUGCAAGUCGAACGCCCCGCCAGGGGAGUGGCAGACGGGUGAGUAACACGUGGGAACGUACCCUCUGGUUCGGAACAACUUGGGGAAACUCAAGCUAAUACUGGAUAAGCCCUUACGGGGAAAGGUUUACUGCCGAAGGAUCGGCCCGCGUCUGAUUAGCUAGUUGGUGAGGUAAUGGCUCACCAAGGCGACGAUCAGUAGAUGGUCAGAGAGGAUGAUCAGCCACACUGGGACUGAGACACGGCCCAGACUCCUGCGGGAGGCAGCAGUGGGGAAUAUUGGACAAUGGGGGCAACCCUGAUCCAGCCAUGCCGCGUGAGUGAUGAAGGCCUUAGGGUUGUAAAGCUCUUUUACCCGGGACGAUAAUGACUGUACCGGGAGAAUAAGCCCCGGCUAACUUCGUGCCAGCAGCCGCCGUAA